rnacentral:rRNA from 1 species
AGGGAGAUUCACGUCCUCUCGCUCGAUCGCCCCCGUCGGAGCGGGACGGCCGCGGGACCCCGCCCGGUGCAAGCCGCGGCGGUCGGACCUGCGGCCGCCAGCUCCGGGGCCGUCGGUCGGCGGAGGACCGCACUUCUCCCUCAGUAGGACGUCGCGACCCGUUCGGCGUCGGCCUAAGGCCCGGGAGCUUGCCCGAGUCGGGGCGCGCGGCGAUUCGUCGUCGCCACCCGACCGGACUCCCGGAGUCCCGGCCGCGCUCCGGACGGUAUAAAACGACGGUGUCGAACCGCUCCCCCCAGUGAGGGGGUGAGCGUCCCCGGUCGGGCGCAAGCCGGCGGGCGGAGAGUCGCGGCGGACCCCGGUCCGGCCGACCCCGCCCCCGACUGCUGGCGCCGCUGGCCAUGCGGACGGAGUUCACAACACCGGUCGGCGGCGCUUAAGUUUCGGUCACUUGUCCGACCCGUCUUGAAACACGGACCAAGGAGUCUAACAUGUGCGCGAGUCAUUGGGUCUUUCGAAACCUAAAGGCGGAAUCAAAGUGAAAGGUGAUCUCUUUCGCUUACCCGAGGGAGGAUGGGCACGUCUUUGCCUUCGCGGCGGUGCCCCGCACUCCCGGGGCGUUUCUCACUCAUUGCGAGUCGAGGCGCACCCAGAGCGUACACGUUAGGACCCGAAAGAUGGUGAACUAUGCCCGGCCAGGACGAAGCCAGGGGAAACCCUGGUGGAGGUCCGUAGCGAUUCUGACGUGCAAAUCGAUCGUCGGAGCUGGGUAUAGGGGCGAAAGACUAAUCGAACCAUCUAGUAGCUGGUUCCUUCCGAAGUUUCCCUCAGGAUAGCUGGUGCCCGGGUGAGACGAGUCUCAUCCUGUAAAGCGAAUGAUUAGAGGCAUUGGGGGUCGAAACGACCUCAACCUAUUCUCAAACUUUAAAUAGAUGAGAACUCCGGCUUGCUUGAACAGUGAAGCCGGAGACUCGGAUCAGGGUGCCCAGUGGGCCAAUUUUGGUAAGCAGAACUGGCGCUGUGGGAUGAACCAAACGCCGAGUUAAGGCGCCCGAAUCGACGCUCAUCGGAACCCAUGAAAGGCGUUGGUCGCUUAAGACAGCAGGACGGUGGCCAUGGAAGUCGGAAUCCGCUAAGGAGUGUGUAACAACUCACCUGCCGAAGCGACUAGCCCUGAAAAUGGAUGGCGCUGUAGCGUCGUGCCUAUACUCGGCCGUCAACGGCCGACCGGGCGGCCCGCAAAGCGGGACGCGCCGUUACGCCUUGACGAGUAGGAAGGCCGCGGCGAUGAGCGCUGAAGGGUCUGGGCGAGAGCCCGCCUGGAGCCGUCGCCGGCGCAGAUCUUGGUGGUAGUAGCAAAUACUCCAGCGAGGCCCUGGAGGACUGAUGUGGAGAAGGGUUUCUUGUGAACAGCUGUUGCACAAGAGUCAGUCGAUCCUAAGCCCUAGGAGAAAUCCGAUGUAGAUGGGUCGCCGUUAUCGUCGGCUCGCUGCGACGGCGACUGCGGUCGACAGCCGCGAGUCCCGGCGGAACGCCGAGCGGAGCCCGACUGUCCACGCGGGAAGUCUGCCGCUGACCGAGGUCAGUUGUUCUCGCACCCCGGAAAACUGUCUAGUGCCCGUCGCGCCGGAGGAGGCUCGAGUGCCGGUAGGUCGGGGCGAGCGCGUUGCUCGAGGUGAGCGUGUCGGCCCCGUGCCGGUGCCUCCCUCUGCCGCGCCCCCGCCUUCCGGCCCCUCCCCCGUGAGCGCGACGGUUCUAGCGACCCCGGUGAAGCGACGACGGCAGACAGGCCCGCCCUCUGACAGUUUGAGGCUCCGCCGCUUCCGCCCGAAUGGGGCUCUCGCGGCCGUCCCGAGCGCUUGUCGCGCGCCACUUUGCGUGUCGGCGCCCGUCGGGCGAAAGGGAAUCCGGUUCCUAUUCCGGAACCCGGCAGCGGAACCGUUCCGAAUCGGGCCCUCGUUCGAGUGCUCGUCGGGGUGACCCAAAAAGACCCGGAGACGCCGCCGGGAGAUCCGGGGAGAGUUGUCUCUUCUCUAUAAGCGUUCGAGUUCCCUGGAAACCUCUAGCAGGGAGAUAGGGUUUGGAACGCAAAGAGCACCGCAGUUACGGCGGUGUCCGGAUCUUCCCCGCGGACCUUGAAAAUCCGGGAGAGGGCCACGAGGAACACCGCGCCGGCUCGUACCCAUAUCCGCAGCAGGUCUCCAAGGUGAAUAGCCUCUAGUCGAUAGAAUAAUGUAGGUAAGGGAAGUCGGCAAAUUGGAUCCGUAACUUCGGGAUAAGGAUUGGCUCUGGGGAUCGUGGCGAGCCGGGCUUGGUCGGGAAGUGGAGCCGCGUCAACGAGCCGGGCCUGGGCGAGGUGAGCGGCGCCCCGCGCGCCUGGAUCCGAGCUCGGUCCCGUGCCUUGGCCACCCACGGAUCUUCCUUGCUGCGAGCCGUCGGCCGUCUAGUCGCCGCCGUCUUCCGACGGCCGGUGGACGGGCCCCCGGUCUCUUCGGCCGCC